GACGAACGCUGGCGGCGUGCUUAACACAUGCAAGUCGAACGGUAAGGCCCUUCGGGGUACACGAGUGGCGAACGGGUGAGUAACACGUGGGUGAUCUGCCCUGCACUUCGGGAUAAGCCUGGGAAACUGGGUCUAAUACCGGAUAGGACCACUGCCUGCAGGGGGGGUGGUGGAAAGCUUUUGCGGUGUGGGUUGGGCCCGCGGCCUAUCAGCUUGUUGGUGGGGGGAUGGCCUACCAAGGCGACGACGGGUAGCCGGCCUGAGAGGGUGACCGGCCACACUGGGACUGAGAUACGGCCCAGACUCCUACGGGAGGCAGCAGUGGGGAAUAUUGCACAAUGGGCGCAAGCCUGAUGCAGCGACGCCGCGUGAGGGAUGACGGCCUUCGGGUUGUAAACCUCUUUCAGCACCGACGAAGCGCAAGUGACGGUAGGUGCAGAAGAAGGACCGGCCAACUACGUGCCAGCCGCCGCGGUAA
rnacentral:rRNA from 1 species